UACGGAGGGGGCAAGCGUUGUCCGGAAUUAUUGGGCGUAAAGAGCUCGUAGGCGGUUUGUCGCGUCGGAUGUGAAAUCCCGGGGCUCAACCCCGGGUCUGCAUUCGAUACGGGCAGACUAGAGUUCGGUAGGGGAGUCUGGAAUUCCUGGUGUAGCGGUGAAAUGCGCAGAUAUCAGGAGGAACACCGGUGGCGAAGGCGGGUCUCUGGGCCGAUACUGACGCUGAGGAGCGAAAGCGUGGGGAGCGAACAGG
rnacentral:rRNA from 1 species